rnacentral:rRNA from 1 species
AACGAACGCUGGCGGCAUGCCUAACACAUGCAAGUCGAACGAGACCUUCGGGUCUCGUGGCGCACGGGUGCGUAACGCAUGGGAACCUGCCCUUAGGUUCGGAAUAACCCCCCGAAAGGGGUGCUAAUACCGGGUAAUGUCUUCGGACCAAAGAUUUAUCGCCUUUGGAUGGGCCCGCGUUGGUUUAGCCAGUGUGUAGGGUAAAUGUCUACCAAGGCGACGAUCCAUAGCUGUUCAGAGAGGAUGAUCAGCCACACUGGGACUGAGACACGGCCCAGACUCCUACGGGAAGCAGCAGUGGGGAAUAGUGGACAAUGGGCGAAAGCCUGAUCCAGCAAUGCCGGGUGAGUGAUGAAGGCCUUAGGGUUGUAAAGCUCUUUUACCCGGGAUGAUAAUGACAGUACCGGGAGAAUAAGCUCCGGCUAACUCCGUG